AACAGGAUUAGAUACCCGGGUAGUCCACGCCGUAAACGAUGGAUACUAGCUGUUGGAGGUAUCGACCCCUCCAGUAGCGAAGCUAACGCGUUAAGUAUCCCGCCUGUGGAGUACGGUCGCAAGACUAAAACAUAAAGGAAUUGACGGGGACCCGCACAAGCGGUGGAUCGUGUUCUUUAAUUCGAUGAUAAACGAAGAACCUUACCAGGGUUUGACAUCCUUGGAAUUUCUGUGAAAGCAGAGAGUGCUUUAUUGAGCCAAGUGACAGGUGAUGCAUGGCCGUCGUCAGCUCGUGUCGUGAGAUGUUUGGUUAAGUCCAUCAACGAGCGCAACCCUUGUGAUUAGUUGUAUUUUUCUAAUCAGACUGCCCCGGUAACGGGGAGGAAGGAGGGGAUGAUGUCAGGUCAGUAUUUCCCUUACACCCUGGGCUAGAAACACGAUACAAUGGUCAGUACAAUGCGCAGCGAAGCCGCGAGGUGGAGCAAAUCGCAUCAAAGCUGAUCUCAGUUCGGAUAAGAGGCUGAAACUCGCCUCUUUGAAGUCGGAAUCGCUAGUAAUCGCAGGUCAGCAAACUGCGGUGAAUACGUUCCCGGGUCUUGUACACACCGCCCGUCAAACCAUGAAAGUCACCAACACCCGAAGUCCGAUUCGUCGGCCUAAGGUGGGGGGGGAUGAUUGGGGUUAAGUCGUAACAAGGUAACCGUA
rnacentral:rRNA from 1 species